UACGUAGGGUGCAAGCGUUAAUCGGAAUUACUGGGCGUAAAGCGUGCGCAGGCGGUUUGCUAAGACCGAUGUGAAAUCCCCGGGCUCAACCUGGGAACUGCAUUGGUGACUGGCAGGCUAGAGUAUGGCAGAGGGGGGUAGAAUUCCACGUGUAGCAGUGAAAUGCGUAGAGAUGUGGAGGAAUACCGAUGGCGAAGGCAGCCCCCUGGGCCAAUACUGACGCUCAUGCACGAAAGCGUGGGGAGCAAACAGG
rnacentral:rRNA from 3 species